AGUGAACGCUGGCGGAAUGCUUUACACAUGCAAGUCGAACGGUAGAGGGGGCAACCCCUCGAGAGUGGCGAACGGGUGAGUAAUAUAUCGGAACGUGCCCAGUCGUGGGGGAUAACGUAGCGAAAGUUACGCUAAUACCGCAUACGAUCUAAGGAUGAAAGCGGGGGAUCGCAAGACCUCGCGCGAUUGGAGCGGCCGAUAUCAGAUUAGGUAGUUGGUGGGGUAAAGGCUCACCAAGCCAACGAUCUGUAGCUGGUCUGAGAGGACGACCAGCCACACGGGAACGGAGACACGGUCCAGACUCCUACGGGAGGCAGCAGUGGGGAAUUUUGGACAAUGGACGCAAGUCUGAUCCAGACAUUCCGCGUGCAGGAUGAAGGCCCUCGGGUUGUAACUGCUUUUGUACGGAACGAAAAGGUCUCCCUUAAUACGGGGGGCUCAUGACGGUACCGUAAGAAUAAGCACCGGCUAACUACGUGCCAGCAGCCGCAGUAA
rnacentral:rRNA from 1 species